AAUUCGAUGCAACGCGAAGAACUUACCAAGGCUUGACAUACACCGGUAACGCCCAGAGAUGGGUGCCCCUUUGUGGUCGGUGUACAGGUGGUGCAUGGUUGUCGUCAGCUCGUGUCGUGAGAUGUUGGGUUAAGUCCCGCAACGAGCGCAACCCUCGUCCUAUGUUGCCAGCGGGUCAUGCCGGGGACUCAUGGGAGACUGCCGGGGUCAACUCGGAGGAAGGUGGGGAUGACGUCAAAUCAUCAUGCCCCUUAUGUCUUGGGCUUCACGCAUGCUACAAUGGCCGGUACAAAGGGCUGCGAUACCGCGAGGUGGAGCGAAUCCCAGAAAAGCCGGUCUCAGUUCGGAUUGGGGUCUGCAACUCGACCCCAUGAAGUCGGAGUCGCUAGUAAUCGCAGGAUCAGCAACGCUGCGGUGAAUACGUUCCCGGGCCUU
rnacentral:rRNA from 1 species